UGAUGUCUAAAAGAGGCAGCUUUCUGCAC
rnacentral:piRNA from 1 species